rnacentral:rRNA from 1 species
AACGAACGCUGGCGGCAGGCUUAACACAUGCAAGUCGAACGGUUGCAGCAAAGCAGCAGUGGCAGACGGGUGAGUAACACGUGGGAACCUUCCUAGGGGUACGGAACAACUCAGGGAAACUUGAGCUAAUACCGUAUACGUCCGUGAGGAGAAAGAUUUAUCGCCCUUAGACGGGCCCGCGUCGGAUUAGCUAGUUGGUGGGGUAACGGCCUACCAAGGCGACGAUCCGUAGCUGAUCUUAGAGGAUGAUCAGCCACACUGGGACUGAGACACGGCCCAGACUCCUACGGGAGGCAGCAGUGGGGAAUCUUGGACAAUGGGCGCAAGCCUGAUCCAGCCAUGCCGCGUGAGUGAAGAAGGUCUUCGGAUUGUAAAGCUCUUUUGCCAGGGACGAUAAUGACGGUACCUGGAGAAUAAGCCCCGGCAAACUUCGUGCCAGCCGCCGCCGUAA